AAUCUUAUGACCAGUAAUAAGUAUUUAGUGAACAUUGACCUGAUGGCUUGUUAUGAAGCUAACGGUGCCUGUACUUUACAAGAAACCAUCCUAACUGACUUUGAACUCUUGAAACAAGUUUGUGACAGGGCAACAGGCUUUGUUAAUCAACAGUUUUCCUAUAGUUCAUGGCUAUCAUAAGUUGGUCUACCAGCCAAUACUUCACCCCUACCAGAAUGGACCAGAUGAUCAAUGACCUUGAUGCAGAUAAUUACUUCAGUCUUGACGACAAGUGCUACAAUGUGAAGACUCCAUUUAUGACAGCAACUGCAACAAAUGGCUUCAAUAAUGUUUGUGGUACAUCAAUUGCACAUAACACAUUUACACCAGCUGAUACAAUUGUGUGUAGUAUCCCAACAGACUGUAAUGGGGUAGAUGCUGUGUUGAUGUGCCUCUUUGAUGUGCCUCAGCUUGGUAAAU